UUUAAAGUCUGGCCUGCCCACUGAUAUUUGAAUGGCCGCAGUAUAUUGACUGUGCAAAGGUAGCAUAAUCAUUAGUUUUUUGAUUGGGAACUGGUAUGAAUGGUCGGAUGGAAAAGAACUGUCUCUUAACAGAUUGUAUAGAAUUUUAUUUUUAAGUAAAAAAGCUUAAAUUUUUUAGAAAGACGAGAAGACCCUAUAGAGUUUUAUAUGUAGGAAUAUUAAUUUUAUAGAUAGUUGAAUAAUUAGUUUUUAAAUGUAUUUAGUUGGGGUGAUGUAAAAAUUGGUUUAACUUUUUAAUUAUGAUUUACACUAAUUAGUGAUUAUUUGAUCCUGGAUUUCUGGAUUGAUAGAUUAAAUUACCUUAGGGAUAACAGCGUAAUUUUUCCUGAGAGUUCUUAUUGAAGGAAUAGUUUGCGACCUCGAUGUUGAAUUAAA
rnacentral:rRNA from 1 species